GAUCCUGUGGGAAGGGGAGAGAGAGGACAGAUGAGAACGGAAUCGCAGAGAUCUUGGAUCUGGAAGAGAUCUCAGAGAGUCAUAUCUAUUUACAGAGGAGCCAUUUUUGUCAACUUGAUACAAACUAGAGUCACUCAGGAAAAAGAGGGAUCUUGAACUGAAUUACUGCCUCCAUCCGAUCGGCCUGUGGGCAUGUCUGUGGGUCAUUUUCAUAAUGAUUGAUGUGGGAGGGCCCAGUCCACGGUGGGCACUGUCACCCCUGGCAGGAGGUCCAGGGUUGUCUAAAACAAAUAACAAGCUCCGGGCAAGCCAACAAGCAGCCUUCCUCCAUGGUCUCUACUUGAGUUCCUGCCUCCAGGUUCCUGCCUCGAUCUCCUGCCCUGGCUUCCCAUGAGGAUGGACAGUCAAGUGUUAAGAUGAAGUAAAUCUCUCCUUCCCGAGUUGCAUUUGCUCGUGGUGGUCACCGCAGCAACAGUAAAGUAAUACAUUAACAGAAAUCUCCAGCACGUAGCCCCAGGAAGAGAGUGGAGUCCCCUGGCUGCCACGUAGACGAGGGAGUGGACCUUGGAAUCUGCCAGCUACACUCAUCACCACUUUGGGUGACUCAGUGGUCUUCAGGUACGGGAUGGGAACAGUGACAUCACACAUCCUAUGGUGAUGUGCAGGCUCCUGAUGGGAUGUUGGAAUUGCUGGGACUGUGCCGGGAUGUCUGUAACACUUAAAAAAAACCAACAACAACAAAAACCCAAAAAUAAAACAGCCCUGGAGUCCUGAGAGGCAGAGCCUACCGCUGAAGAACAGUCAUACCUGCCUUGGCCACAGCAGCUCAGAUGAAUUCUCUAAACACCAGCUUGACCUCAGAGGAAAAUGACUUUUCUUUCACUUAAUGGAAUAAAAGCCAAUAAAACAUCAAAUUUUCAUCAAACGCCUCUGCAUAACCAGGCGGUGGACACGGCAAUCCAUCUUGAGUCAUUCCUUAUGCUAAAGUAUUGAGGAGCGCCGGCAUGAAAACUGGAGAUGGAGAUAAUGCCUGAAGACAGCACGUCCUUCUCUCCUAAAAACCCAUAGGGAGAGUGCGGAGUGGCUUUCUUCCCAUGCCCAAGUGUGCCUGGCAUGCUUGGCCCGACCAGCAGAGGGCGCUUCCCCCUGCUCGCGGCUGAGGUGGCCUUCUCCUGCCCUCUUGGGAACUGCUCCCUAUGCAUCCACAAAGUUUGAGAACAAGUACGUUGAUUAAUAAGAAUGAUAAAGUGCAGCAACCUAGAGGAACAAGUAGAUUACAAUUGAAUUAAAAAAAUAAAAAGGACAUAGUCCUGUGAAAAGACAUAACUGAUUACAAUCCAAUCAAGUGAAAGUCCCUUGCAGAAGUCAAUGCAAUCUUUCUGCUUAGAUGAAAGAAUUACAUUAGCACUCAAUAAAUUCCUGUGAAAAUUACAGCAGCCUGUAAUUUAAUGACUUAAUAUAUUAUAACAGCCUGCAAAAUCCUGAUUAUAGUUCCUAAAUAAAAGUUGGAGUUGGAGGCAUUUCUCAGGCAGGAGGUUGUACCCACCAGGCUCAGGCCUCUGGUGUUGUGUUAACGCCUGGAGGAGUCGGGGUACCAGGAGACUAAGCUGCCCUCGCUUGCUGCCCCCUGAACUCACAGCCCAUCACUUGGCUCUUUGGAGCUGAGUUUCUUUGUGGAACUGAACUGUUUUCUUGGUAGCCCCUGCUCCUCCCAGGCUGCUGGGACAACUCUUGGAGAAGGGUGUUGUGCCAGGCACUGGGAUCCAGCAAAGCUGUGCUUCAGGGGAGGCUUUGGCCUGACUCAAGCAGGAUAAUCUGCCCUCCUGGGCCACCUCAGUUCCUGCUAGCCUAGCCAGCACUGCCAGGGUCCUGCCACCCUGCUAACACCCCCAAGGCAAGAGCCAGAUAACUGGGGCUGUCUGAGGCUCCCACAGCUGCUAUCUAGUUAGCCUCACUGUCCUGUUCUGUGGAUCACUUUUGACGGCUCUGGGCAAUCUCGGCUCCUGCUGUUGGACUUGCUAGACACCCCAGUGGGGUCAGAAACACAAUGCCAGGCUGUCUUUGUGACCACAGAGGCUCGCCCAGUGAUGGGCUAGCUAAGGGGAUAAUGGGAAGAAGAUCCUGGAAACAAGACAAGUGUAGGGUGCAGCCAAACCAAAUGCUCUAGAGUUCUGGGCCACUUUGCGAGUGACAUUGGGCAAGUCCCUUCACCUCUGUGGUCCCUCCUUUCCUCAUUUAUAAUAUGGGAGUGUAAAGUUUAAUCCCGAAACGUCCCCCACAGGCUUAUAUGGUCUGGAUGUUUGUUUCCCAACUGAUGCUGUUUUGGGAGGGUGUGGAGUGUUUCAGGGGUGGGAAGCAGGUCAUUAGGGAUGAUGGGCCUUGAAGGGUUUACUUGUCCCUGGUUCUUGCCUCUCUCUCUGUUUUCAGACCUGCUGCUAUGAGGUCCUCCCUGCCUUCUCCAUGAUGAUGGACUGAGACCCUUUGAAACCAUGAGUCAAAAUGAGUGUUCUCUUCCCUUCCUGUUUCUGGCCCGUAGUUUGUCAGAACAUAAAAUUAACUGAUGAGAAAUGGGCUACCAGUAUUCUGGCUCAGUUUGUCUAUGCUUUAAAUUUUUUAGUUUUAAUCAUUAAAUAAUAUAUGAAGGCAUUCUUUCUUUUACUUUUUUUUUUUUUUUUUGAGUUAGGGGUUCCUGUGUCCCUAUACUGCAG